rnacentral:rRNA from 1 species
AACGCGAAGAACCUUACCUGGGCUUGACAUGCAUCGUGUCGCCGGUGAAAGCCGGCUAGUGUAGCAAUACACGCUUUGCACAGGUGCUGCAUGGCUGUCGUCAGCUCGUGUCGUGAGAUGUUGGGUUAAGUCCCGCAACGAGCGCAACCCUUGUGAACUGUUGCUACCCAGCACUUCGGUGUUGGGGCACUCUGUUCAGACUGCCCUGUGAAACGGGGAGGAAGGUGGGGACGACGUCAAGUCCUCAUGGCCUUUAUGACUAGGGCCACACACGUGCUACAAUGGACGGUACAAAGUGAAGCCAAGUCGCAAGAUGGAGCUAAUCGCCCAAAACCGUUCUAAGUUCGGAUUGGAGUCUGCAACUCGACUCCAUGAAGCUGGAAUCGCUAGUAAUCGUGGAUCAGCACGCCACGGUGAAUACGUUCCCGGGCCUUGUACACACCGGAGUA